UUCUCUGUGUAGCUUUGUGCCUUUCCAGGCUGGCCUCGAACUCACAGAGAUCUGCCUAGCUCCCCCGGCCCCCCAACUUGAUCUGUCUCAGAAGCACCCUUUGAAAACUCUGGAAGGUCACCAGCUAGCCAGUAUGGAGUCUAAGACAGCAGCUUCUCUAAUGGCUGUGCUGGGCCACGUGCAGGGUGUAAGGAUUUGGAGUUUGUGGUAGCUUUCUUUCCAUUUGCUUUUGUGGCUGGUGUCUCUUCCUCUCUGACUGAAAGUGGAGAGAGAAUUCGAGGGUCCCAUCUCACCUUAGAAUUCACUCCGUGCCUCGGCAUUAACUCUACUGCCUCUGAGUCAUGGGGAGCCUGUUUCUAGGUUGAAAAAUGGGGCUUCCCUGAGUAAUUUUAUUCAGCUCCUAAUUCACUUUCUUUAGUGAGUUGAGAAAGUAUCAAGCCUGUCAAUUUGAAUAAAUCUGGCUUGUUUUUUUCUCUCAUUAAGGUGACAAACGUGAAUAUCUUGUUACCUAGUUUUGUGAAGUGAUUGCAAGGACGAUUUUUAAAAAUGACCCCUUCUGGUCUACUUUCACAUCAGAUAGCUAAUCAGAUUUGAAAAUAAUGAAGGUGUCCUUGAUAAUAAUGAUUUUGGGUUAUCCAUCUGAACAUUAAAGAAACCAACAUUUUAGGAAAAGUUUUGUUCCGUUAGCCGAGAGAGUGACAGGAAGAGGCUUGCUGUGGUGGACUGAUGAAUUGUCUGAGUGAAAGGUAACUUGACUGUUUCUCCCAAUGUCUCAGGUAUCGGUGGCAAUUUGGUGGCCAUUCAGGCUAGCAGGAUUUCUACCUAACUCCAUUUGCAUAGCAUCCCUGGGGAGCUGCCUGAAGAGCCCAAAGGUUGUUCCUACCCGUUCAGGACAUUCUUUGGUUCAGGAGUGAACAAUAAGUCUGCCCAAGUUCUUCUGCUCCUAGUGGUUCCGGGCCACCUGAUUUUCCUCUACACAAUUCACCUGAUGAAGAGUGGCCACACCUCUCUGACUGUGGUCUUUGUUGUUGUGUACCUAUUUGCUGCUGUGCUACAGGUAAGAGGUCAAACUUCCUCAAAUCUCUCACUCUCAGAUUGCUGGGAAUCUGUCCUGAUGGACUUCUGCAGUACACAACAUAGUUACCACCUCACAACUACAGUACAUAACAUAGUUACCACCUCACAACUACAGUACACAACAUAGUUACCACCUCACAACUACAGUACACAACAUAGUUACCACCUCACAACUACAGUACACAACAUAGUUACCACCUCACAACUACAGUAUACAUCAUCAUAGUUACCACCUCACAACUACAGUACACAACAUAGUUACCACCUCUUCCAGUUGACAUCAUUGUAUCCUGGGAACCCACAAUUUCCUGGUCUUCACCAAGUUCUGGAUAGCCAGUUUUGCCCCAAUAUCUGACUCUGGGUGAUUACUUGCAGCUUCAAGUGACCAUGUUCAGGACUGACUGUGAACAUGCCUAUCUGUCCUCAACCAGACAGCUGGAAGAGGCAGCCUGUUGGUGGAAGACAAAGCCUACUAAGCCUUUGUCUCAGUACAGAAAAUAAAAAGGAAGCCAGAAGUUGGCCAUUUGUAUUACU